rnacentral:rRNA from 1 species
UACGGAGGAUCCAAGCGUUAUCCGGAUUCAUUGGGUUUAAAGGGUGCGUAGGCGGAAUGAUAAGUCAGUGGUGAAAUCCUUCAGCUUAACUGGAGAACUGCCAUUUGAUACUGUCAAUCUUGAGUACAUUUGAUGUGGGCGGAAUGUGUCAUGUAGCGGUGAAAUGCUUAGAUAUGACACAGAACACCGAUUGCGAAGGCAGCUCACAAAACUGUAACUGACGCUGAGGCACGAAAGCGUGGGUAGUC